rnacentral:lncRNA from 1 species
CUGCUCCAGGCCAUGUAUGGGGUUAUAUAAGGAGAAGCUACCUAAAGGUACUAGCUUAUCUUUAUUCCAUUGGAACAAAGUGGCGCAACUGAAUCAUCACUUUAUGCUGCAUACUCACCGUCGCCUCAUCAGGAUCAAAAAGCAAGCAAAACCUUCCUUGACUAAAGCAAUGGACGUGAGAAGAACUCCUUGAGCUUUCAGCCCAGCUAAUGAGGAGGUAUCGAUGCUUCCCUUUUUAAGAUGAACUUUCUGUUGCGAUACUGUUUAUCAUGAGGUGGUUGAUAGCAUGCUAAACUGUUAUCUUUAUAAGUUGAUGAUAGGAGAACAUUGUAGGGUUUCCUUUUUGCCAUUAACUCUUUAAGUGGGUUAUUUGAUACGUGGUGAUAAACAGGUUCUCUGUUUUUCCAGUUCAGGCAUCGGGCAAACACGUGGUUGAUUACUUGGUUCAAAUUUCAGACCAAACUGCGGGUACAUAUUUGGUCACCUUUCCACUUACAUUUUGGUCACGUUUUUGUGAUGAAUGUUGUUCAGGAUGCUCGACCAUACUAAGAAUGUCCACUUCUCAAGUUCGUAUGACAAGAUCGAUGCUUCGAUGAACCUGAUGUGAAAUUACUACAGAAUAUAGCUAGUAAUGAGCAAAGCUAAACUAUAAACACUGCUUCCUACUGAGAGAGUGCAAUCAGGUCCAGAAUCAAACCAGACUUACUGACUGAGGCUGUAAAGAGCUGCAAAGAUUCUUCAAUGAAUACUCAAAAAAAUCUUCAAUGUUUUGUUUCCAAUCCUGCUGAUGAAGAGGUAAUGACGACAUGCAAUUGAGCACUUUGACUACUUUUCAAUGGCAAUGACGACAUGCCUUAAGUUACUUACAAACCUUAUUAAUAGUCGCUACUAUAUUAGUGAUCAAUACAUAACUAGAAAAAUACUUCUGUGCUGACCCUUUCGGCCCUUUUUUUCAGGUAAGUAGAAAAUGAAAAGAGCAAAAAGGGAGAAAAAAAAGGCAGGCAGGUUGUUGGUGAAGGGCUUAAGUCUUAAGAUCUUCUUUUUGUUGUGGCACCACAUUGGCUAUGUCCCUUUUGCUUAUACCUUGGGGCCACACCCUUUUAGCUGGGGAUCAUUUAGAAUCUAAACAAACAAAUAAAAAGAAUCCCUUCCAUUGACAGAUUCAGAGUUCAAGAACAUGGUGGCCCCAGGUGAUGGCUGGGGCCUCUGAUCUGAUGUGUG